rnacentral:antisense_RNA from 1 species
GGGUGCUUGAGGCUUAUCUGGCUUGAGCAGCGUUGUGAAAGACAUAAUAGUUGUUCAAGGCAUAAUAAGAAGAAAGCCCCGAGGAGAUUUUUCAAUCAACCCGAGGCUAUCACAACCAUACCUAGACAAUAUGAGGAUAGCCUCUUAAAAGCAGGAAUGCAACGGAGGGCAAGAUG